CCCGGCGUCCGCGCGGAGCAGGGAACCCGAGGUCCGCAGGCAGCCGACCCGCAGGGGAAACCAUUAGGGAAACCAGGCAGGACGGCAUCAGGAACGGCUGGAACCAGGCCCCAACGCCCCUUCCCCGGCGUCCUGCGGGGGCCACGACGCCGUAGAGAUGCCUUCCCCGUGGCCCCACUUGAGACCGAGGAGAAGUGUGCCCCCCGCUCUUCAUGACCCUUCGGGUCUCUGAGAUCAAAGACACCCCCACCCCCACUCCCACCCCCACCCCCCAGAGGACCCGGUGGGGCGCAAGAGAAGAUGAAACCACGGGGCAGUUCAGAGAAGCUGCUGGAACUUGUGGCCGGGCCGCAGGUCCCCUUGUGCUGCGGCCUCUGCUGGAAGAAGUGGGGCUCCCCGGACAGCAGAGGCCGAGGGCCUGCGGGGGACAGGCUUUCCCACCGCCCACCAAGGGCAGGGCCGGGUGAAGUGUCCCGGGAGGCUCCAGUCAUUCUGGAGGCAUGGCCUUCUGCGGGAGGCUGGGCGAGGCCAGGGCAAGCUUGAACCCACUGGUCGUGGAAGUGACGCUCAGCUUCCGUCAGCAGCCACUGCUGCCCAGCAAGGACCUUCUGGGGAUGUCAGGGAGACCCGCGGAGGCAGGUGGUGACUAGAGUCUGACCACAGGGAGCUCUCAACUGGACGGUCGGCCAGAGCAGAAGCACCUGAAAUUUGAGUAUCUACCCACGAGGGGGACAACAUCUUCAAAGAGUCGUAACUUAAAAAAACAAAACAAAGCAAAACAAAAAAACCAUUGGGGUUUGAGUUUACUGGAUUGGGACAAAUUUCAUUUCCCCACUGCCGUGUGGGAGCAGGACUCCCUUUCUGAGGAAGGACCGUACAGCUCUACGGCCAGAACGAGUUUCGUGUGGGUCCAUGGAAGGUCUGAGAAGAUCUGUGUGUUGAAGUCCCUCCCGCCCCCUGUGCCACCAGGUGAUGAUCUUUGGAAGUGGAGCCUUUGAGAGAACUUCUGGAGAUGAGCUUGAGAAGUCCCCCCUACAGGACUGGAAUGGCAGCUCUCUAACUUCGGGAGGCACGCAGUAGCAGUAGCAUGAACCAGAGAGGCAGUCAUAGGAGGAAAGACCCUUCAGACCUGGGGCUGUGUGUCCCUGGAAGUCCCAGCGAGUGAUUACUGAUUCAAAGCAUCACCAAGAGCGGGCUGGCACUGGCCCCCUUUCCUUGACUUCUAUUAUAAAGGUAAACUACUGAUUGGGAAACGGGUGCUGUUCUACUCUAAGGCUUAGGAAGGCCUUGGAAUGAAUUCAUCGACAUGUGUCGAUGACUACUCAAGGCUAGCUUUGAACUUUGGAGCAUCAGAAAGAACUCCGAGAAAACUCAGAUCUCCUCAAAGAAUUCAGUCCCAUCUGGAGAUCAUGUGAACUGAUUAAGGGCUGAAUUGGGGGUAAAGAGAUAUAUCACGCGCACACAGUAGGUGAUCAAUAAAGCCUGGCUUGCUGAGACCUAUGUGAAAUGGGAAGAAGACAACGGAGGAGAGACGGCUAUCUCCACGUCUGAAAUGACUCCAGCCCUCUUGAGGUCCAGCCUCCAGCUUCCUACAAAGUGAAAACAAGGUUCUGCCAAUUUUGAGUCUCAGGGGACAAUUUCAGAAAAAUUUCAGAGAAUUGCCGUAGUCUCUCUCAGUCGUCUAGCAUGGAAAGGCAUUUCUUACUUUUUUGGAAGGAGACUUAAAUUUCUAUAGAAUCUCUUCUCUGAGGAGCUCACAUACCAAGCUGUACAUAUGUCCCAGGGAUGUGAUUUGAUUUACGUAUUUUAGAUUUGUCAUUCUCCUGAAAACACAUGGGGGACCGAUAUUUUGUCCCUAGAGGACUUCAUUAACAUGGCAGGGGGUGUUACCUCAUGAGGCUGGGAUUUGACUCAGCCCCACGAAAAGCUUAGGAAGUGGGUCUUAGGACAAAGGGUGUAGACAGUUGGCAUGAAGAGGUUGGAGAAAGCCUCACCUUCCAUCAGAUGUCCAUGGGCUGAAGGUGUGGGCCAGGGGACGAGCUAGAGCUUGGGGCACUGCAGACAAAGAUGUUCAUUUAUGUUUGUAUCCCGUUGUUAUUAAGCUCUGUUCUGUGUUAGGGCCUAUACACUAAGCAGCCCGGCAGGGGAGACAGACACAGAAAUGAAAGGUUGGGAGGCUUUGCAUAGCCACAGGCUAACUAGAAAGCCUGUGUUGAAUGAACCCCACGGGGGGGGGGGGGGGCUUCAGAACUGUGCCUCUGAACAGGUUAAGGGGAGCUCCAGGGGAAGCCAAGUCAGCAGCACAGCCCCAAAGGGCAGAUCCUGGUUACUCGGUUCAUGGCCUCCAUACCGAGACCUCAGGCUCUGAUCUGUGGGCCCCCUUCCUCCCCUCAGCAUUCUGAAGUGGGGGGCCAGGUCCCAGGAUGUUCACUAGUUCAUGGGCAUGGGCGGAGGGCAAGACCUCCUUUGCUCCUUCUCCUGGGGAUAGUCAAGCAUAGUUUCUCUCACUUUCGGGCACGGCUGGGUGUGGGGCCGGGAUGGGCCUGCACGUGUUCCCGGGCCCAGAAGGCAUGGCGGGCUCCAGCGCAGGCUUGCAGGAGAAAUCCCGACUUUCAGCUUCUUUUCCUGGAUGGCGUUUCCUUGAGUUGACUGUCAGUGAUGAGACCAGAAGGCCGAGAUGAGGAUGGGGAAAGAGGCCUAGUGGUCGUUAGGCCUGCUUCUGUCCUAGGCCUUGGGCCUUCUUGCACCUCCGAUGCUUCAGCUCUCCCCUGCUCGGCCUGCCUUACAGGAGGCUCUUUUGGGCCCUGGAGCUCAAGCCCCAGGAGAGCGGCGCUUGAGAGUUCGGGGGAUACUGGUUUCCAAACCCAGCGGCCCCACCUAAGUUCGAACCAAAUGGUGAGAAGGAGGGUGGAAAAAUAGUGUUCUCCACCGAGUGUGAUUUGAACAAUUGAGGGACUGUUGCUAUAGCUACAAUUCUAGAAAGACCUUAGAUGGAUAAAAGAAGGGGGGAUAAAAGAACUCUUUGGGAACAAACAGCUCAUCGUUGUCUUUUUUAGUCAGCUCAGAACAACUGCAAGUAAGAGGGGUCAGGGCCACCGCCAGCAUCGUGCACACCCUCCGGUGUGUGUCUUCUCUCCCUGACACACGUCUCAUGACCCCCUUCUGGGCAUCUCAGAGCUCCGCUCCCCCAGGCUUCAAGCUCUGGUCUCAGGAAAGCUCUUCGGUGACCUGCACCCAAGCUUCUCCAGCCGCCCAAGCUUUUCUAAGCUUCUCACAGCGAUGCCUUCCCGGGGUGGGGGUUGGGGUGCCUGCGUUCUCUUACUCUGGCUGCACCUGUCUGUAUCAGGGCCUCGGCCGCCUGGCUUCCCGUGAGCAACCCCGAACCCCCGGUAUCCUGGUUCAGGGUUCUGGAGUGAGCACCCCGGGGAGUGGGGCCCGGGGAGGCUGACGCAUGUUGAGGCUUGGCUGGUCUCAUGUUCCCUUCCCACCCCAUAGAAUGGGGGGUGAUGCAUGGGGUCUCCUCCUUCCUUGACUCUCCCCAUCAUGCCCUCCUGACUCCCUGCGGUGACUUCCCUGAAGGCCCCCCUGGGGCUUCCUGGGCUCUUCCCUUGAACAUCCCAGGGAGGCUGUGCUGCAGCGGGUGCGCUUCCCACCCCUGCCAGGAGGAGGCAGCGUUGCCCCACUAGCUGGAGAAGCAGGGGCCGUCCCAGGUCCGUGGAGGGAGAAUCGGGGUGAGGGGAGGAUAAACUUGUAAACAGGGGCCUGGAGAUGGCAGGAGAUGGCAGGAGGUUGGGCCCUGCCAACCUAGACUUUCAGAGAUUUGAGCUGGGCCUGAAGGAAGCAGCAGCCCACGUGGCAGGUCUCUGCCGACUGUGGGGAGUCCAGGUAAUGACUGUUGGCCACUGAGGUGGCUAGCAAGUCCGCUAAAGCUCAGCUGGAUUGGCUAAGCUGUCAGCUGCUCAGAGAACUUGGCCAGACCUGCAGUGUAGCCAGGGCCGCUGGGCCAGCCUCCUGCUGUGACUUCGGAGCAGGCAUUUUACUUUACUUUUACUGUGAUCCUACCGUGAAUGAGAUUUGUGCUUUCAAGAAAAAAAAAAAUCAGCUUAAUCCUGUGCGAGGGGUUCUGGAAAAGACACUGAGCUUGGAAAACACAUUAGAGCUUGACGUUGGUUCAGAUGAAGUGACCUGCCUCUCAGAGGCUCAGUGUACCCAUCUGUUAACUGGGCUGCGGUGAUGUGUGCUCUGCGGAGUGACCUGGGGAUGAGUUGAAUGUGUCCUCCAGAAGGUGGUGGCUCACCCCAGGAGUCACAGCCACCGGCGAUUUUUUUUUUUUUUCCAUAUAACUAGGAUCCCUUGGGCAAGUCUAGGAAAAGCCAGGACAUUCUCCUGACUGGAGCGCCCUCACUUCUUGCCCAGGUGUUGGUGUUCCAGCCAGGGCCCUAGCAGCCAGCCUGUCCCGAGGCCGUGGAAGAUCUUCCCCUAGUGGACUCUUACUUUUUGAGCCGUCCCUUCACUUCCUUCAUGCCUUCCUUGGCCACUGCUCCCCUUUGCCUCCCCACAGCUUGGAUUUCUGAACAUGAGUCUAGAGAAUAAAAUUGGAAACUGU